AACGAACGCUGGCGGCGUGGCUAAACAUGCAAGUCGAACGCGAAAGAGGGGCAACCCUCGAGUAGAGUGGCGCAAGGGUGAGGAAUACAUGGGUAACGUGCCUUUAGCACGGGGAUAGCCAAGGGAAACUUUGGGUAAUACCCGAUGAGACCACAGCAUCACAGGAUGCAGUGAUCAAAGAUGGGGAUCGAAAGACCUAUCGGCUUUGGAGCGGCCCAUGUCCUAUCAGCUAGUUGGUGAGGUAACAGCUUACCAAGGCAACGACGGGUACCGGGACUGAGAGGUUGACCCGGCACAUUGGCACUGAGACACUGGCCAGACUCCUACGGGAGGCUGCAGUAACGAAUAUUGGGCAAUGGACGAAAGUCUGACCCAGCGACGCCGCGUGUGGGAUGAAGUUUUUCGGAAUGUAAACCACUGUCAGGGGCUACCAAGCAACCAGACCUAACACGUUUGGAAGUUGAGGCGCCCCAGAGGAAGCCACGGCUAACUUCGUGCCAGCAGCCGCGGUAAUACGAAGGUGGCAAGCGUUGUUCGGAAUCACUGGGCUUAAAGCGCACGUAGGCGGUCCGACAAGUGCUUUGUGAAAUCCCACGGCUCAACCGUGGAAUGGCUCGGCAUACUGUCGGACUUGAGGCAGGUAGGGGCAUAUGGAACUCUUGGUGGAGCGGUGGAAUGCGUAGAUAUCAAGAGGAACGCCGGUGGCGAAAGCGAUGUGCUGGGCCCGUCCUGACGCUGAGGUGCGAAAGCCAGGGGAGCAAACGGGAUUAGAUACCCCGGUAGUCCUGGCCCUAAACGAUGUCUACUAGGUCGGAGGCACUCUGACGUGUUUCUGGCCGAAACUAAAGCGUUAAGUAGACCGCCUGGGGAGUACGGUCGCAAGGCUAAAACUCAAAGGAAUUGACGGGGGCUCACACAAGCGGUGGAGCAUGUUGCUUAAUUCGAUGCAACGCGAAGAACCUUAUCCUGGGCUUGACAUGUAUGGAUGCCUACCUGGAAACAGAUUAGGUUGCCCUUCGGGGUGAAACAUAGACAGGUGCUGCAUGGCUGUCGUCAGCUCGUGUCGUGAGAUGUCGGGUUAAGUCCCUUAACGAGCGAAACCCCUGUCGCUAGUUGCCAGCGAGUAAUGUCGGGAACUCUAGCGAGACUGCCGGUGUCAAACCGGAGGAAGGUGGGGAUGACGUCAAGUCCUCAUGGCCUUUAUGCCCAGGGCUGCAAACGUGCUACAAUGGCGCAUACAAACCGACGCAAGACCGUGAGGUGGAGCAAAUCGGAGAAAGUGCGCCCCAGUUCGGAUUGGAGUCUGCAACUCGACUCCAUGAAGUUGGAAUCGCUAGUAAUCGCGGAUCAGCUACGCCGCGGUGAAUGUGUUCCUGAGCCUUGUACACACCGCCCGUCAAGUCAUGGGAGCUGGUAGCACCCGAAGUCGCCCCACUACUGGGGUGCCGAAGGUGAGAUCGGUGACUGGGACU
rnacentral:rRNA from 1 species